GACGAACGCUGGCGGCGUGCUUAACACAUGCAAGUCGAACGAGGUCCAACCAGUCGCAAGACUGGGGAAAACCUAGUGGCGAACGGGUGCGUAACACGUGAGAAACCUGUCCCGGUCUCUGGAAUAACAAGUGGAAACACUUGCUAAUACUGGAUGCCGUCGGACCAUCGCAUGGUGGUCUGACGAAAGGGUUACCGGAUCGGGAGGGUCUCGCGGCCUAUCAGCUUGUUGGUGAGGUAACGGCUCACCAAGGCAUCGACGGGUAGCUGGUCUGAGAGGAUGAUCAGCCACACUGGGACUGAGACACGGCCCAGACUCCUACGGGAGGCAGCAGUGGGGAAUCUUGCACAAUGGGCGAAAGCCUGAUGCAGCAACGCCGCGUGCGGGAAGAAGGCCCUAGGGUUGUAAACCGCUUUCAGCAGGGAAGAAGAUGACGGUACCUGUAGAAGAAGGUGCGGCCAACUACGUGC
rnacentral:rRNA from 1 species